rnacentral:rRNA from 1 species
AUUGAACGCUGGCGGAAUGCUUUACACAUGCAAGUCGAACGGCAGCACGGACUUCGGUCUGGUGGCGAGUGGCGAACGGGUGAGUAAUACAUCGGAACGUGCCCAGUCGUGGGGGAUAACGUAGCGAAAGCUACGCUAAUACCGCAUACGAUCUAAGGAUGAAAGCGGGGGAUCGCAAGACCUCGCGCGAUUGGAGCGGCCGAUGGCAGAUUAGGUAGUUGGUAGGGUAAAGGCCUACCAAGCCGGCGAUCUGUAGCUGGUCUGAGAGGAUGAUCAGCCACACCGGGACUGAGACACGGCCCAGACUCCUACGGGAGGCAGCAGUGGGGAAUUUUGGACAAUGGACGCAAGUCUGAUCCAGCCAUUCCGCGUGCAGGAUGAAGGCCCUCGGGUUGUAAACUGCUUUUGUACAGAACGAAAAGGCUCUGGUUAAUACCUGGGGCUCAUGACGGUACUGUAAGAAUAAGCACCGGCUAACUACGUGCCAGCCGCCGCAGUAA